UGACCCCGGGCCCAAGUAGCAUAAUCAUUUGUCUUUUAAUUAAAGGCUUGUAUGAAUGGUUGGAUGAGAUAUAAUCUAUUUUUAUUUAAUUAAAAAUGAAUUUUAAUUUUUAGUAAAAAUGCUAAAAUAAAAAAUAUAGACGAGAAGACCCUAUAAAUCUUUAUUAUUUUUUUAUUAAUUUAUUAAUAGAAUAUUAAAUUUAUUAGUAUAAAAAUAAUUUUAUUGGGGUGAUAAUGAAAUUUAAUAAACUUUUAUUUUAUUUUAUAAAUAUAAUUAAUUUAAUGAUCCAUUUUUAAUGAUUAUAAAAUUAAGUUACUUUAGGGAUAACAGCGUAAUUAUUUUAAAGAGUUCAUAUCGAUAAAAUAGUUUGCGACCUCGAUGUUGAAUUAAGAGUAAGUUUAGGUGUAGAAGUUUAACC
rnacentral:rRNA from 1 species